CUUCUAACUCUUUUUAACAUAUCAAAGAUUAGGGUUUUGCGGUACGGAUGCAAACUUUUCCCAUUUUCCUCUAAGUCAAUUUAACCUUGUUUUCAAACACUUUGGAAUUUUGAGCUAGUCCUUCAGGCAAAAAUUCAAACGCGGUCGUUUUCAUUUUGAGGUCUUUUCUUUUUCUUAUUGUCCCUCAGAAAACACCUCUUACAUUAUCAAUUAUUAAUUCAUAAAAAUUGAUUUUUAUCUCGUUUUUAUUAGGGUUGUUUUAAUUCUUGGCUAUGAUUACAUAUUAUCCGCGCUUCUGAGAUUCUCGAUGAAGUAUUAAGGACUGAAACAUGGUUGAAUUUCUUUAUAUGAGCCUGAAUAUUAUCUUUCCUUUUUAUUUUAAUUGAAAUUUGUAAUGUUGGUUUUGUUUAUUGAUAAUUGUUGGCUAUGAUGAUUUCUAAUUACAGCUUCAUGCCAGUUCUGCUUCUGAAAAAUCGUGAUUGUUAGAGCUGUCUAAUGUUCUGAGCCUCAAUUUUGCAAAAAAGUUGUUUUUAAUUAAUGUUUUAAGGAUUAAAUUCAUAUGUGCAAUCAGUGUAGCAAUCAGAGUAUCGUUAAAAGAUAUUUGAUUUUAAUCAUACUUAUCUUUUUUAAACUAACACGGAUUUUUGUUUGGUUAAAAUUGAUUGUGUUAUUUGUUUUAUUAUUGUAUUGAUUGUUUUAAUGUCCUUGUAUUUUCGUGAUUAAUUUGUAUAUUGCUAGCUUGUGACAUUGCUGAUGAUGAUAUAAUCCAAUUUGUUGAGGUGUUGUGAAGCCAAGCCCCUGUCUUCAGGGAGAACCUACUUGGAGAAGCUCCAUUCAUAUGACAUUAAUGGAUUUAACUGAGUCAAAAAUAUGCAUUUAGAACAUGAUAUCUUAAGCCGUCUGUAUGUAUUGUUUAUUUCGACCUUAGAAGUUAUAAACCAUUUUUAUUUGUGAGUUUUACUAUACUCUUUAUUUCGACCUUAGAAGUUAUAAACCAUUUUUAUUUGUGAGUUGUACUAUACUCUGAAUCAUCUGGAUUUUCAGUGUCUGAAAAACUCAAAUAUUGUUUGUGUUGUCAUCAGCUUCAUCUCUUGUUUGAACCACGAGUUGAGAGUUAAAUAACAACACUAAAUUGUUUGAAUAUAUUGAAUUAGUAAUGUACAAUAUCA